rnacentral:rRNA from 1 species
CCUACGGGAGGCAGCAGUGGGGGAUAUUGCACAAUGGGGGAAACCCUGAUGCAGCGACGCCGCGUGAGUGAAGAAGUAUUUCGGUAUGUAAAGCUCUAUCAGCAGGGAAGAAAUGACAGUACCUGACCAAGAAGCCCCGGCUAACUACGUGCCAGCAGCCGCGGUAAUACGUAGGGGGCAAGCGUUAUCCGGAUUUACUGGGUGUAAAGGGAGCGUAGACGGUUAUGUAAGUCUGGAGUGAAAGCACGGGGCCCAACCCCGGGACUGCUUUGGUGACUGUGUAACUGGAGUACAGGAGGGGGAGGAGGAGUGUAUGGUGGAGCGGUGAUAUGCGGAGAGAGCAGACGGA